AAAUAAGUCAGUCACACACACAACACCCCUUUUUCUCCUCCCGCAUAAGAUUCCUCUCUUUCUCUCUCUCUCUGCCCAUCUGAUUCGCUGCUGACUCACACACGACACACACCUCUCUCUCUCUCUCUCCUUCUUCGCCUCCUGUAGAAGAAAACGUUUUGUUUUGUUUUGUUUUCGUUUGAUCCUCUCGUCGCGUAACUCCAAAGCUCAGGAGCCUCUCUUUAAUUCUUCCGUUUCUUCAUCUGGGUUUCUUUCUACUUGUGUGGCUUGGACAAUGGGUGCAUCAACAUCCAGAAUAGAUGAAGAUAAAGCCUUGCAGCUAUGUCGGGAAA